UGCAGUCGAGGGGCAGCGCAGUGUAGCAAUACAUGGGCGGCGACCGGCAAACGGGUGCGGAACACGUACACAACCUUCCUAUAAGUGGGGGAUAGCCCAGAGAAAUUUGGAUUAAUACCCCGUAAGAUAACGAUGUGGCAUCAUAUUGUUAUUAAAGCUACGGCGCUUAUUGAUGGGUGUGCGGCUGAUUAGAUAGUUGGCGGGGUAAUGGCCCACCAAGUCUACGAUCAGUAGCUGAUGUGAGAGCAUGAUCAGCCACACGGGCACUGAGACACGGGCCCGACUCCUACGGGAGGCAGCAGUAAGGAAUAUUGGUCAAUGGACGCAAGUCUGAACCAGCCAUGCCGCGUGAAGGAUUAAGGUCCUCUGGAUUGUAAACUUCUUUUAUAUGGGACGAAAAAAGGGUAAUCUUAUCCGUCUGACGGUACCAUAUGAAUAAGCACCGGCUAACUCCGUGCCAGCAGCCGCGGUAAUACGGAGGGUGCAAGCGUUAUCCGGAUUCACUGGGUUUAAAGGGUGCGUAGGCGGGCAGGUAAGUCAGUGGUGAAAUCCUAGAGCUUAACUCUAGAACUGCCAUUGAUACUAUCUGUCUUGAAUAUUGUGGAGGUAAGCGGAAUAUGUCAUGUAGCGGUGAAAUGCUUAGAUAUGACAUAGAACACCUAUUGCGAAGGCAGCUUACUACGCAUAUAUUGACGCUGA
rnacentral:rRNA from 1 species